rnacentral:rRNA from 1 species
UACGUAGGGUGCAAGCGUUAAUCGGAAUUACUGGGCGUAAAGCGUGCGCAGGCGGUUUGCUAAGACCGAUGUGAAAUCCCCGGGCUUAACCUGGGAACUGCAUUGGUGACUGGCAAGCUAGAGUGCGGCAGAGGGGGAUGGAAUUCCGCGUGUAGCAGUGAGAUGCGUAGAUAUGCGGAGGAACACCGAUGGCGAAGGCAAUCCCCUGGGCCUGCACUGACGCUCAUGCACGAAAGCGUGGGGAGCAAACAGG